UUAAGUCUUUAUUUCAUGAAUAAAACUCACCUGUACAAAAGCCUGAAAUUCUUCCCAUUUACUUUCAGGUAAAUCAAGAGGCAGACACAGAAGUAGUUCAAUACAGCUUCUGGAAGUGAAAUGGAAAUAUUAUUUGAGGAACAGUUUUACAUUCCUUUCUCUUGCCGCCUUGCUGAUACACACGAGACUGAUUGAAUCACCGCCACACAAAGUACAAAAGGCUGCCAAUCAUUUCAGUCAGGGCCAGGGGACUCGGACACACAUUGAGGUUACAGCACAGCCAAAACGUGGACCAAAGGUAUGCCAGUCAAGGAUGUAACAGCAGCAAAAAACCACUGCAGAUGAUGGCACAGAAAUCAAGAAAGAAUAAAACAGAGGAGAAACACGGAAGAAGCAACAAAGGAGGACUGAAUAAACAACGUAACAAUGUUAGCAAACAUCUAUUUCGGUACCAUUUGGCAAUUUUGAUCAAUACACUAGAAUAAUCAGAACAAGGGAGUAUACUUGAAAUCAUCUUGAAAGAAACUCCAGUAGAAAGUCUCCCUCUGCCCAAAUGCUUACAUAACCAGAUGUACUAUGAUUUCAGUUAUUGAUUUGUCAUACACGACAUGUUUAAGAAUGCUAGCGGUAAAACGGCUGCAGUAAAAUAACGAAGCUGAAUCCUUCACUCUCUGGGUCCUGAAGCAAUAUUUUGGAUGGAACAGGCAAUGAUUUCUUCCCCUUGUCCAGCUGAUACAAGUAUUCACAUUAAAAGAGUUCAGGUUUACAUGAAUGCCACAGGCUUGCACGAGAAGCCCUUUCUCCUUAACUUGAUGUUGUUUCUUAUUAAGAAUACAGAGCAAUCAAUGAGAGCACCUUUAACAGUAUCGUACUAUAGAAGAUUUACAAUGAAAAGCAUACUUGUAUAAUCUUUUUCCUUAGAGAAUAAACUUUUCCUUAAGUGCUCAGGUAUAGCUAGUAUUUUUGCACUGAAGAAAACACAGAACUGCUUUAUGUGAAACGAAUAUUACAGCUUAACCAACCUUACACUUGCUUAACAGAAACAAUUCUCCCUGUAAAGGAGAAAUGCAAAACCAAGUGGCUGGUGACACUGAAUAAAAGAUGGACUAACAUGAUGACAAAACAUUCUGUGCAGCUUACUGUUCAUACGGAUUCUUAAAAUAAUGUGGGAAAAUUCUUUGUGCUAGCUUGGAAUGCUACCUAGCUCAAAUAGAGUCAGCUUCAAAACCAGAGAUGAAGAGUAAAAGCUAACACUGUCAUAAUGAAUUACUUUCCUUUUUCGAUUUAAUUUGAACAACAUAUUUCUUCUUUUAGAGUAAAUAUUAACACUCCCUUCCUGCAAAAAAACCCCAAACACUCCCCCAACCAAAACACCCAAGCAGAAGCUAGCUUAACAGACCAAUGCAAUAACAGGUUGCAUAAACUACCAUUCAGUUUUAUCCAGCUGAUUGUCCAAACUUGCUAGAGCUGGCCUGGACAUCACGAAUCUGCCAAACAGCUUCUGCCAGUAAGGUAAGUUCAUAUUUAGGAAGAUGAUAUAUGAAGUAAUUAAUCCUGUUUAAUACUAGAAACACCAGGUUUACCUGUUAAAGACUCAGUGUAUAUUUGAAUGUGGCCCAUAUACUAUACUUUACUAGUGUCCUGUUCAGAAGACUGCAGCAAGCAACAAAAUUAAUGCAAACUUUGGUAAGUGAAGGACAUUUCACAGUUAGCUACCAAGCCAGGACAACACAUCCUGGAAGUCUCAAAGUGUUAAGUAGAGCAGAAGAAGGAAAAAGACGACAACAGGGAUGAGGAAGGAGAAGAAAGUGGGGAGAUGUAACUAAGCAAUUGGUCAUCCGAGAAGCAUGACUGAAGAAUUAAAGAGGAUUCUUACCAGUUGUUGCAAAGACAGCAACACCUAAAAAUCUAAAGAAGAAAACAAUAGCCUCGGCAGAGAGACACUGAUUCAUAAAGCAACCCAUGACAAGUGACCAUGGAGACCUGCAACACCAGACCAGAUCUCAUAUUUCAUGGGGCAGGAAAGAGAGACCUUAUAGGUAUUCAGCAUGCUAAAACCCCUCCAGCUCGGCAGUAUCACCAUCUGAUCUGCACAACAGAGAAUACUGAAGACUGCAGGCCCCUGAUGAUGAAACCCAACUGGAAUUCUCCUAAAUAAUUAGGAACUUUACUGAAAUACCAUGUAGUCAUUAAUAGCAGAAAAUUCCAUUGGGUAAGAAUUACAAAAGCACUUGCAGAACCUAUGGAAGCCCAACUAACACUACUCCAAUCCACAUCCAGAUUAAUAAGGAUAAACUGAAGCAAAUAAAAUUUAGUUUUGAAAAUACGAGGUUUAGUAGUAGUUAGCCAAAACCAAAGUAGAUAUAAUCAACACUGACAAAUUCUCAGAAUCCACCACCUAACAAAAAAGUAUUCAGUAUGUUGGUGAACUCUUACUACCAGUAUAGUCCUCUAAAACCAGUGUGUACAGAUGCAAAGACACUGUGUAAAGGAAGCAAAGGCAUUUGCACUAUAACAUAGUGGCACUUAUUUCAGUAUUAGUGCUAUUUUUAUGGGUUUUGUAUCUAUAUCAGACACUUCCAAGCCAUUAUAUGAACUAUAUUAAAUACUUACACCCACCACACCCUUCAAAAGUAUUCAUCAGUAUGAUAGAUUUCCUUGUCUAGAUGUCCCUAGACUAUACAGCACUGCCACUGUACAAAGAAAAUCAAAUUCAUUCUGCUUUGCUUAAUGAAUCAUUGUUGUGCUCCGCUUACAACCAUAAAAAGAAAGAAUUUUACCCCCAGCCCUGGGCCUCAUUAAGUUAUUUAUCUCCCUAGUCAGGACAUGCUUGUUAAUCAAACCAAGUGCUGUAUUCAGAGCACAGCAGCAAAGUUCUGUUCCUCUGUGAAACUGAAACGGGCAUUUUAUUUCAGCAGCAGCUCACACAGGCAAGAAUGCUCCAAAAAAAAUAGAAUCAUCUCAAUUUGUAUAGUAAAAAUCAGUACAUAUUAUAUCUGUGAUUUAAACUGUGGAAAAUAUUUAGCCACGGGUAAUAUUCAGGCAAUACAUCUUAUCCUUUUCAAUUAUUAUCAGAACCCUUACGUGAAUAUUGCAGUAGAAAAGCAUCCUCUGGUGGGUGCACUGCUACUUUCAAAAGUUAUACUGAGCAACCUGCUUUGCUAAAACUAGGCCUACAACACCAAAGUUGUGUUAAAAUAUGUUUCAUACUAAAAGGCAGCAUUAUUCACCAUCCACAUAUUUAACUCUUAAGAUGAAAUUCUUACCCCUGUAGGUAUCUGGGUAAGGGCAAGCUUACUUAAAUAGGUUAGAACAUAACUGGGACUGCCAUUUCCAUUCCCUGCUAAACCCAAGGGACUAAGAGGCAGGGAAAGUGACAGACAGUGGUCAUACGAUAAGCUGCAUCUCCCAAACCACGCCAGUAACCAGCAAAACCUCUAUUUCAGUGAUGUCCCUCAAGCACACCAUGCGGAAGAGUCCAAGCAACAAGCUUGAUAUGAUAAAGUUAUCUGGAGAUCCAUCUUUAGGAGCUGCACACAGAGCGGCUGCAAGAACUCCCUCCUGAGGUCAGCUUCUGCAGCGGCAGAGGUAGCCAAGUGAUGACUGAGCUCCACACAAACAGCCAGGUUCAGGAGCAACAGCACUUCCCAGUGAGAUCGGUCUCCCACUUCACGUUCACGUGGAGCACAUUCCCACAAAGGUAUGGUUCCCCUUUGGCUGGCACAACCCUCCAAUACCUGCCAAUCACUGAUUCAAAGAGCAGAUGCUUUCUACAGAUACCAUCAAAGGGUAUGUUUCAAGAAAACAGGGCAAGCUUUUUUCAAAGCUGGUAAAGAAUGGCUACAAAUUCUCCUAGCAUCAACGAGAACUUCAAAAGAAAGUGAAAGCUACAGUCAAGAACGAGAAAGAAAAUGAGUGAAGCAGGUGUCCCAUAUCGACCAUGCACAUGACUUAGAAACCUUUUUCCUGGCUUAAGAUUCUCCCCUCUGAAGAAGGCAGGUACGCGCUAAAGACCAGAGCCAUUCCCAGGUUGUAGUAUUAGAUGGAUCAUGACCAAAUGAAAAUUAACUUGGGAUCCCGAGUUCGGUAUCAUCAUAUAGAGUAAGAUGCAGAGAUAUGCCUAACGAGCCCAACACCAUAACUGCUUCAGACAAAGCAGCUUCCACUCACUACUCUGGACUCGUUUAUAGAGUUGGAUGCUAGGAUUAAAGGGAAUGAAGGGAAGAAGACAUACCAUAACUAAUCCAGAACAAAAACAUCGUACAGAUCAGGAGAAAAGCAGCUGACAUUGCUUACUAAACUCUGCUAAAUAACUUGGAAUGUCAACAAACCGAAAGUAUUGAGUGCAGCAUGGUAGAUUAGGUCUAUCACAGUAAUGUGGUUUGACAUGCCGUAUCAGGAAUAACGUGUAGCCAUGAUGUGUCUGUAUGGCGAGUAUAAGGGAUCAUUCAAAACAAGAAACACUUUCAAUGGGAUAUUACCUGCAAACUGAAGGCAGUCAGCCUCGAGAUGUGUACACAAAGAGCACUUACACCAAACAGGUAUUCAAGAACAGCUUAUGUACAAUGCCACCAGGCAGCACGCUGCAAGUGUGAGCGCACGGUCAAGGUCUGUUAGAUUCCACUCCUGGGUAGAAAGCCCAUCUACAUGAGGCUUGUUAGUGGAAAACACCAAGAAGUGAAUGUUAACAAAAGAUUGCCAGUAGUGAUGAUGGAAGAUGUAGCAGUUUGAGUAAAGGAACAAAGGCAUUGCAGCAAUGACUGUGGAACACUUAUUUAGUCUUGACAAAUGUCCUAGCAGAAAACCCAAACUAGGUGAAGUCCCCUUCCCACACCCAAAUACUGAACUGGAUGGGGCAGGGACAUAACCUCUAGCAACACUUCAAGGAUAAAGAAGUUUCUCUGUCUUAAUAUAUACGUAAUUCGCAUAUGCACAAAUACAUACACAGGCUAUCAUACCAAGACAAAUCUCCUUUCAGUUACACUUUUCUUGCUUUGGAACUAUGAUAAUUUGGUUGUUCUUACACCGGGUUGUUUUUUUUUUGUUACCUGAAAAGACUGAACAAAUAAGCUACAUUGCCAAAGGGGGUAUAAAUAAACUUAAGAAACUAGCAUACCUCCAGAGAUGGAAGCCUUAAGGUAUGUUGUCAGUAAAGUAUUUCUGUAACCACCCAAAAAGAUGUGAGUCUUAUGGUUCCUCUGUAAGAAAGCUACUCCUUUUCUAAAUUCCGUAUUAUCAAUUACCCUAAAAAACCCCAAAGACAACCACAUUGGCUAAUAUACAUGGUGAACAUUUUUGGCUAGCAUAAUGCCAUCUGGGUAAAGUUCUAAACUCAGCUUUGUGGCAUCUGGAAAUUUUAUAUAGUGAAACAUAUACUCCGUGGUAUAUAAGACAUUUAAGUUCAGCAGUACUGGAAUAAGCCAAACCAAAUAGAGAAUAAUUCAUAUAAUUUGUGAGUGUACUCCUGUUUGGAAAGUGUAUAAUUUUUUUGGUGGAUGGAGAUGAUUUGAGAUAUUUAUUGGUGGCGGGGAUAAUAAAAAUAAAGCAUUUACAAUAGCAUGAGAGAUCUUCCAAGUUAUAAACUCUCUCAUGGACUCCUAUCAAAUUUGGUAAGUUCUAGAGUUGUGCUACUUAGUAUGCAUGGGAAUUACUGCCAAAUUAUUACAGUAAUACAAACAGAGCACCAUGCUUCAAAUUAGAGUAGCUAUACCAAUGCUUCUCCUUUCUCAGAUAAGACUGUUGUGUUUCCCCUCAGUGUGUCAGAAAGUAAGGUAAUUUAAAUCUCAACCAAAGAAAGAAGCAAGAUUCUUCACAAUUACUGUGUGUAAGCCCACAGACACAACCACAGAAUAUGACUGUUAGUACCUACACUCUUAAAUACAAACCCAUCAAAUCCACACAUUACUUAAAUAGCUAAGCUAAAUAAUAUUAAAUAAUUAUAAAACUAAUUAUCAAGGAGGGUGUGACACCCUAGGGUGUUCACUGACAUUUUUGAAAAGUUUUGACUUUGUCUUCAUUCACCAUCCAAACACUGUUAAAUACUAGGUGUAUCAGUGAAGCACCUAAGUCAAGCUCCCAACCUUUCACUUCAAACUGCCUGAAAUCAAAACUCAUCGCUAAUGUUUAAACAAAAAACCAUGAUAUUUUUCUGCCUGUCAAUGUGACCAGCAAGUAGUUCAGUAUAGGAAUAGAUCUUCCAGGUUUAAUAAGUACACACACCACAGAUGUUGAACGAGUUUUGAUUACUUACAUCACACUGCCAGCAACUGCAAAAACAUAAAGUAAACAUUAGUUUAAAAUAUGACUAUUUAGUAUUUAAUUUGUGAUGUCGUAACAUUUCACACUUGGAACAAAAAAUUCUGGUUGUCUAAAUCAAAAGCCACCCAGAUUUUUGGUAUCCUGAUAAACUUCCAACUUCAUGUAAAAUCUAUUAUCACAGCACUUAUAUUUUGUUAUAAAACAUGAUUUCAUUUAAGAAUUAGCAGCUUGUGAAAAUAUUUAUUUUGUCACUGCUUGUAUUUUCUUGAAGAUCUGGACUUGAAAUAGAGGCUUAUGAUUACAUAAAACACAGAAUGUCUCAGAAAGAGGUAUUUAUCAAGACACCAGUAUUAGUACCAGUAUUAGUUAGUAGGACAGAGCUGAUUUUGUGCUGAAGACAUCAUGAACAUCCUCCUGUAUAUGCACAAAAAUAUGUGCAAAACCAGGUCCCAAUACACUGAUCCAGGCCAGAAAAAUCAACCCUGGAGCCUGAUCCACAGGUCUACAGCCCACAGAAGUCUUUGCUUUCAUUUAAAAAAAACCACCAUUUCUGGCUCUUGGUUGUCUUUUUUCCUGAUGUUAGCUGAUAUGAUGAUAUUCAGCUCUUCAAAUGGCAUACAACCUGCCCUUCCCCACAAAACACCAGCUCAGACCAAGAUCCCUGAGGCAGUACUGUGAAUUCAAUGACUUCACUGACUCUCCCUCCCUAUAAGGUGUCAUCAUGAUUUCUAAACAGAACACCGGAGAAGUAGCAGCACAGUAUAUAAAUCAUUUAAAUAAGUAAUUCUAGUUUCUUGCAUAGGCGAACUUCACAGUCUUUACUGCUUACAGUUUCAUCACACGGGGCGAGGGGGGAACCCAAACCAAAACCAAGGCCAUUGCCAGCUUCUGCAACAGCCCAAGAUACACAGGGUAGACAUGACCCCAGCUCACUGCCCUGUCUUUCUGUCUCCUCCAAUGUAAGGCUAUGGCAACAUCUUCAUUCUUCUAUUGUUCCAUGGUGGAAAGAACAGUUUUGCCCAGAUUUAUACAAACCAAGAAGGAACAGCUUUUUCAAUUUCUUUCUGCAGCACAAGUUUUUAAUAUGCUCUAAAGAACAAGGACUGAAAGUAAAGAUUUUACCCAGUGCUUCCAAUAAGGUAAAUGGCUUGUAUCUUUCCUACGGGCUGCAGUGGUCCAAAAUACUGAAUUACAUCUUCAUCAAUAAAGGAGUAUAAAUCAAACUCCCAUAAGCAGUGUAGUGUUUUCUUUCCUUUUUUCCAGCAUUACUGACACUACUGACAGUUUAAAGAAGUUGUAAUUCUGUGUUUACUAGUAGCUUCACUUGUACUCUGGACAGCCAUUUUCCUAAUGUUUGUUUUGUAUUAUCUUUUAACUAACAUUUAUGGAGUAAGGGCUAUUAGCACCUUAAGUCCAUGACCAGAGCUAAUCCUUCAUCAGCAAGAAGUAAGUUUUAAGUCCUAUCAGCUCCCCAAAUAUGCUCAGUGUGUAGUUUCAAGCGCUUGUGCCAGCACAA